GAUGAACGCUGGCGGCGUGCCUAAUACUUGCAAGUCGAGCGAACAGACGAGGAGCUUGCUCCUCUGACGUUAGCGGCGGACGGGUGAGUAACACGUGGAUAACCUACCUAUAAGACUGGGAUAACUUCGGGAAACCGGAGCUAAUACCGGAUAAUAUAUUGAACCGCAUGGUUCAAUAGUGAAAGACGGUUUUGCUGUCACUUAUAGAUGGAUCCGCGCCGCAUUAGCUAGUUGGUAAGGUAACGGCUUACCAAGGCAACGAUGCGUAGCCGACCUGAGAGGGUGAUCGGCCACACUGGAACUGAGACACGGUCCAGACUCCUACGGGAGGCAGCAGUAGGGAAUCUUCCGCAAUGGGCGAAAGCCUGACGGAGCAACGCCGCGUGAGUGAUGAAGGUCUUCGGAUCGUAAAACUCUGUUAUUAGGGAAGGACAAAUGUGUAAGUAACUAUGCACGUCUUGACGGUACCUAAUCAGAAAGCCACGGCUAACUACGUG
rnacentral:rRNA from 1 species